UCUUCUAAGAGGAGGUGUGAGGCAGCUGUGGCAUUACAUCAAAAUGUACUUUUCUAAGUUUAGAAAUAAAUCACUCUAACUACAAUGGUUAAUAAUUACAAUAAUGAAAUUUUGUAAAAUACCUCGAAGGGGUUGUGCCAUACAUGAUGGUCUGUACCAUUCCUAUUGUCACCUGAAAUGGACACAAAUUACAGGGGGUAAAAAUGACUUUAGUGAAAGUGAAGGCCAAGUAUUGAUUUUAUAAAUUGUAAUAAUUUUGUUUGUUGAAAGAAAAAGGUGAAAGUGACACGUGAAGGACCAAGUAUGGUAACCCAUACUCAGAAUUUGUCCUCUGCUUUUAUUGUGUAGUAUUUAGAUACAAAUUAUUAGUUUUGCAUGCAUUCAUUAACAUUCAGUUUAACAGUAAAGCUAACAGUUGUAUAGCUUCUUCUUUCUGUUAUUUUAAUAUUUUCAGAUCUUACAGGCUGAGACUGAAUCACAACUACAAGAUGCAGUUGCACAGGCAGCCAGUUUGAUCAGUCUUGCUGGUCACAAUGUUCGCAUAACACUGGGAAACAAACAAGAGACAGCUUUAGACCUGGCUCACUGGUUCAGAGAUGGCUUAAAGUCUUUGGGUGUCCUAGAUGCUCCCCAAAGAUACCCGCUUCAGUUGAGGAGCCUUUUUGUAAAGUCCGAAAAAGCCUCAACAGCAAAUGAUGUGGAGAAUCUCUUCCAGAUCAUUCAUUCAGAAAGAGGGAGUAAUGCAUUUCAGCAUGAGUGCCGGACCCUGGCUUUCUGGCAAGACUAUCUUCAUGAUGCUGAAUGCAAGUUUGGCAUUUCAGAUCGGGUCCUGGAGGGCCAGUGUCCUGCAUAGCAAAGCUCAAACCCUAGUCAAACACACCUAAACUAGGUCUUUAGAGUAACUAGGAAAAUGCAGGUAGGUGAGUUUAGCAGGGUUUGAGCUAAACUCUACAGGAGAGUGGCCCUCCAGGACUGGAUAUGAGGAAUUAUUUAAAGCAAAUGCACAUCCAACACCACAAUAUGUUGUUGUUAUGGCUGUUCUUCUCAUAUUAUAGCUGUAUAUGCUUGCAGCAGACUUGGAGAAAGAUUAGCUUUGUCUAAGACAUUAUGAGCCACCCUUUUAAAUGCAACUACUCAGUUUGACUCACAUCUCUUUUGCAUCAAUCCAGUGGUAUGAUACUGAAUUACUCUAAUUGUUACCCUCUUUUUAUGUUUUUCAGUUGAAAACAGUGUCUCUCUGGAGGAUGUUCUUGUUUUCUUCAGUGGAUUUGACAGCAUUCCAGCUCUGGGUUUCUCUCCAAAGCCAAGCCUUGAGUUCAUUACCCAUUCCCGGUUUCCAGUGGCCAAUACUCGCAAAAAAUAUUCUUUGCAUACCAAUUCAUGCAGUAUACACUGCUUUCAAAGCUGACAUGGAUUUUGCCAUACGCAAUUCACCAGGAUUUGGAAGACAUGAGAGGUAAUAUAGUUGAGGGCUUAUAGAACUUUGGGGGGAAAAAACAUUUUUCUUUAAUUUAUGCUGAUGCUGUUUCAUUUUGUUAUUAUCUGAUUUCAAAAUUCAGUAUUUACCGUAACAAACACAUGAAGUAUACAGAAAAAAGUUAUUUGUUACAUUUAAGGAUAUAUUUAAACCCAUAGUGUUGUGAUCCAAUCUUCCAACCUGAACAAUUAUGUUGCUCUAUUCCAUUGCUCUUUCCAUUGCACAGAUUAAAGCUUGAGUCAUGUUGA